CUGCUAAGCCGGACGCGGUGCGCAAGCCAGCGUGCUGCUAGAAAUCCUUGAAAGCAAAUCCCAGUUAGGAGAAGCCUGCUCUGAGCUGCUGGGCAGCUCAUUCACGCUGGGAGCGGUGCUGGAAAAGCUGCCAAAGCCAGGGCCCCCCAGCUGGUGCUGCAGCCACCGCGUGCAUGGGCACCAGCCCCAAGCGAGUUGCCCUCGGCUGGAUAUGUGCGAGUUGUACCCUGUGUUGGUGUCCUGGGCCGCCAAGGGCGCACUGCCGGCGGCUGGGGCGAUUCGCGAGCGAGCCACGCAGGGAAGCCCAGAGCCACAUCGCCUCCGCGUCUGGGGAAUUUUGCCUCUAGCUUCAGUCAGCAUUUGCAAGUCUUGUUAAACCUGAAUAACCGCAAUCCGUGACUCCAGCUUCAAAAACAUCAGGUGAGAGCGAUGGUUCCCAAAGCUUAGCGAGAUAAAGCGGCCUCCGAGAAUGCCGCUUACCUACGUGCAAUGUUUUGCUUUAAGGAAUCGAUGGAUUUGUGGAUCGUAGGUGACAAUAUUCCUAGUCUCUACUCUUAACUGCUCUUUUCUCCACCUUUCCCACUGCAGAUGCUGAAAAAGUAGUGUGAAGCGUGUGUUUACGUGCACCCCCUCCCCGGCUCUUGCACCGAGGUCUCGGUGUGCGGCGGUCCCUGCUCCUGCCAGCGUCCAGCGACUGCUAGGUCACCUCCGCGUCAGGCMACGUUUGCUUAGCUGAAGUUAUACUUUUAAAUGUUUGUAAUUACACUGGUGUAAAACCAUUUGCGGAUGCUCUUCUAUGCGCUUUAACGGAAAUCUGAAUUCACAGCCAGAACCGAUUUUCUUUUGGACUCUCUUCUGAAAGCUGAAUCUGUUUAAGGGUAUCCACAUGGGUGUGCGCUGGCUUCAAUAAACAGAAUUAAAAACAGAUUUU
rnacentral:lncRNA from 1 species